rnacentral:rRNA from 1 species
UAGGAAAUCUUCCACAAUGGGCGAAAGCCUGAUGGAGCAACGCCGCGUGUGUGAUGAAGGGUUUCGGCUCGUAAAACACUGUUGUAAGAGAAGAAUGACAUUGAGAGUAACUGUUCAAUGUGUGACGGUAUCUUACCAGAAAGGAACGGCUAAAUACGUGCCAG